ensembl:lncRNA
CGUCCUCUGGUCUGAUGAAACCAAGAUUGUACUCUUUGCACCAUCUCUAAGGUAAAGCAUGGUAGUGGCAGCGUCAUGCUGUGGGUAUGUUUUUCAGCAGAAGGGAGACUAGUCAGGAUCAAGGGAAACAUGAACGGAGUACAGUACAGAGAGAUCCUUGAUGAAAACCUGCUCCAGAGCGGUCAGGACAUCAGACUGGGGGCGAAGGUUCAUCUUCCAGCAGGACAACGAUCCUAAGCACACAGCCAAGACAACUCAGGAGUGGCUCGGGACAAUGAAUGUCUCUGAAUAUCUGUGAGUGGCCCAGCCAGAGCCCGAACUUGAACCCGAUCAAACAAAUCUGAAGAGACCUGAAAAUAGCUGUGCAGUGACGCUCCCCAUCCAACCUGACAUAACUUGAGCGGAUCUGCAGAGAAGAAUGGGAGAAACCCCCCAAAUACAAGUGUGCCAAGCUUGUAGCGUCAUACCGAAGAAGACUCAAGGCUGUAAUCACUGCCAAAGGUGCUUCAACAAGGACCUGAGCCCUAGGACCAUGCCCCAGGACUACCUGACAUGAUGACUCCUUGCUGUCCCCAGUCCACCUGGCCGUGCUGCUGCUCCAGUUUCAACUGUUCUGCCUGCGGCUAUGGAAUCCUGACCUGUUAACCGGACGUGCUACCUGUCCCAGAUCUAUUAUUUGACCAUGCUGGUCAUUUAUAAACAUUUGAACAUCUUGGCCAUGUUCUGUUAUAAUCUCCACCCGCACAGCCAGAAGAGGACUGGCCUUUCUAGGGAGUUUUUCCUAGCCAACAUGCUUCAACACCUGCAUUGCUUGCUGUUUGUGGUUUUAGGCUGGGUUUCUGUUCAGCACUUUGAGAAUCAGCUGAUGUACGAAGGGCUAUAUAAAUACAUUUGAUUUGAUUUGACCUCGAUCAGACACUAUAUCCUCAGGCACCCCGCAGUGCCGGAAGACGUGCGUAAACAAGGCCUCUGUAGUCUGUAGGGCCAUAGGGAGACCAGGCAGAGGGAGGAGACGGCAGGACUUAGAGAAACGAUCCACAACGACCAGGAUCAUGGUAUUUCCCUAUGAUGGGGGAAGAUUGGUCAGGAAAUCUAUCGACAGGUGUGACCAUGGCCGCUGUGGAACGGGUAAGGGGUGUAACUUACCUCUGGGCAGGUGCCUAGGAGCCUUACACUGGGCACACACCGAGCAGGAGGAAACAUAAACCCUCACGUAAUUAGCCAAGGUAGGCCACCAGUACCUCCCGCUCAAACAGCGCACUGUCCGACCACUGCCUGGAUGACCAGAGGAGGGUGAUGUGUGGGCCCAAUAGAUCAACCGGUCAUGAACAGCAGACGGGACAUACAGACGCCCAGCAGGACAAUGGACGGGAGUGGGCUCUGUACAUAACGCCUGCUCAAUGUCCGUGUUCAGCUCCCACACUACCGGCGUCACCAGGCAGGAGGCGGGGAGUAUGAGAGUGAGAUCCAUGGGCUGCUCCUUUGUGUCAUACAGCUGGGACAAUGCCUUAACAUUCUGGGAGCCUGGUCUGUAGGAAAGGGUAAACACAAAACGGGUGAAAAACAUGGCCCACCUUGCCUGGCGAGGGUUCAGUCUCCUCGCUGCCCGGAUGUACUCCAGAUUGUAGUGGUCAGUCCAGAUGAGAAAGGGGUGUCUAGCCCCCUCAAGCCAAUGUCUCCACGCCUUCAAGGCCUUGCUCUCGGUCCCCCAAAUCAUAGUUUCGCUCCGCCGGGCUGAGCUUCUUCGAAAAGAAGGCACAGGGGCGGAGCUUCGGUGGCGUACCCGAGCGCUGAGAGAGCACAGCUCCUAUAUGUUAAGGGAUUUUUUUUUAUCAAUAAUGACUAAUUAUGUAUACAUUUCAAUCAGGACUGACUAAUCAGAAUACUAUUAUGUUACUGUAUAGAUGUAUGAAUUUCCUUUUAACCCUAGUACUGAAUAUAAUGUGUGUAAAUAUAAUCAAGAAGUAGAACAAUGACUGUCUGUUCCUUGGUAGAAAUGAAUGAACUUAUAGCCAGACUGGCUAGAAUGCUUAUCUACACAGGCAGACCUUGGCUUGCGUCGUAAAUUAUCUUAGUAGGGAGAGACGAUGUGGGAAGGCUUGAGAACUAUAUUCAAUAUUCAACCCCUUUGUUAUGGCAAGCUUAAAUAAGUUCAGGAGUAAAAAUAUGCUUAACAUCAUGAGUUGCAUGGACUGCAAAAAUAGUGUUUAAUAUGAUUUUUUAAUGAUUACCGCAUCUCUGUACCCAACACAUACAAUUUUCUGUAAGGUCCCUC